rnacentral:rRNA from 1 species
UACAGAGGGUGCAAGCGUUGUUCGGAAUUAUUGGGCGUAAAGCGCGUGUAGGCGGCUUUGCAAGUCGGGUGUGAAAGCCCUCAGCUCAACUGAGGAAGUGCGCCCGAAACUGCAGAGCUUGAGUGCCGGAGAGGGUGGCGGAAUUCCCAGUGUAGCGGUGAAAUGCGUAGAUACUGGGAGGAACACCGGUGGCGAAGGCGGCUACCUGGACCGGUUCUGACGCUGAUGCGCGAAAGCGUGGGUAGCAAACAGG